UACGGAGGGGUCAAGCGUUAUCCGGAUUUACUGGGUUUUAAAGGGUGCGUAGGCGGCUCUUUAAGUCAGUGGUGAAAUCCUAGUGCUCAACACUAGAACUGCCAUUGAAACUGAAGGGCUCGAGUCAAGGAGAGGUAAACAGAAUUUAUAGUGUAGUAGUGAAAUGCUUAGAUACUAUAAGGAAUACCGAUAGCGAAAGGCAGUUUAC
rnacentral:rRNA from 1 species